UAUGGAGGACCAAAGCUGCCAAAAUUAAAAAUAAAAGUAAUUAAAAAUAAAUCAAUAAAAGGCAAAAUAUAAACGACUAUAAAUACAAAAUAAGAAUUAAGAUACAAAAACUAAAAAUAAAUCCAAAAAUAAAUAUGGAAAUAAAUAGCUAAUUAAAUAAAAGUAAAAAUAAAAAUGAAUAUAUAUACAAAAAUAAGAAAUUACAUUAAAAAUGUAAGAAUAAAUACAAAAAUAAAUGUGGAAAUAAAUACAAAAAUAAAUAUAUUGAUUGAAAUAAAUGUCAAUCAAUAAAUAAAAGCGCUUUGCCUUAUAUUUACUUAUUUCAUUGUCAGCGCCAACUUGCAAGUGGAAAUGUAAUUCAAAUGAGGGGGUGUUCCUAAGGGUGCCAUGGGUUGAACUAUUCGCUUAUUGGUUGAUCGACAUUCGAUUUCUGAAAUUUACUAGCCAUGCCUGCAACAGAUGACAGAACGUGGGUCUGAAAGUCAGGGAAACAGCCGACCUAGUUUAGUAGUCCUACUUGGUGAGAAGUGAGAGAAUAUGCAUUAUCCACCGCCGAAUGUCAAAGCAUGGUAUAAGAGUCUCUGACUUGAAUAAUUCCACUGACAUCGCAACGUUGGAUGCUGGGUGAUUACAGGCAGGGAUCCCAGGAUCUCAUCCAAAUUCUGGGUUCAGAAUGAUGCAAGGACGUCUCAGGUUCCGACGUACAAAGGUUCAGAGACUUCGUGUGCAAGAAUCCAUGCCACGUCUGGAUCCACCGGGAAUUGUCCGCACACUACAACUACAAACUGUUCGCCGUAGAUAUUCUGUGCCAGCCCCCAACAGUCAAAGGCAUAGCUAUGGCAACCAUUAAGUCAUAAAUUAAAGCUCUAUAUUGGGGGACUCGGAAGGAAGUACAAAAAUAUAUUAAGACCAUAUUUUUUUCACCCAUUUUGGAAAGAUAAACCCAUAUACAGUAUAAUAUAGACCAUUUUAAAUUAAGUUUAAAUAUUUCAUGCUUUUAUUAUUUAUUACGCGCUAGGAAUCUAAUUCAUUUAGAUUUGGAGUGCUUUCGCUGCCAGCCUCUCCCAGUCAAAAAUUGAUUGGAUGUCAAGCGGUGUCAAUGGCAGCCAAUGAGUUAAAUGUUGAUGUUUAUGGCUUGCAAAAAUGAGAAACCCUAAAGUUUUAUGUCUCAGAAUUAAGAAAAAAAAAUUCUGGGCCCUGCAACACAUUGUCUGUUAUUGCAGAAAUGUUGGUAUAGUUUUAGUUGCCACUUCUGGGAGAUGAUUGGAUGAAAUUUUACCCAUCAAAAUCUAAUUAUGAGGUGUGGCACGCCCUCUUUGCUUGUUGGCUCUUUGAAAAUGGCUUAACAAGUUCAACUUCAAAAGGGAUAAUGUAAAGUGCACAUUUCUAAUCAAAAACAUAACAUUAAAAAAAAACAAUAAUAGCAUGAAAUAUCCCUGACCAAAAAAGUUAAAUAAAAUUGUAUAAAUGCGAACACUUUCACAGUCUAGGGCUAGGCACAUACAGAUGAGGCUAAUCAAUAACUAAAUUUGCCAUAUACGAUGUGUGCAUGUUUAGUUAUAUUUUAGGACUAGUUGGUUCAACUUUAAAUUACAUAUUUGCAGUUUUAUGUGAUGGUCCACAUGGUCAUCACCCCCAUGUCGAUGUCAGUCCCAGAAGUGCAGCUGCGACAGGCCUCGACUCCUGAAGAAAUUCAGCAGAUGUCAGAAUUUUCUAAUGUAUUGAAUGUCUACAACGAGACUAUCCAUCCUGCGUCACAAAUAUUUGGACUUGUUUUAAAUGACAGCAUAGAAUGUUGGUUGUCGUUGAUGUGACAGUACCUCAAUAAUGUGAAGAAAUAAUAAAGGCAAUGAUUGUUUUUCUGCAAAGUAAUAUUUUAUUGAUGACCAGUGUAAUACAAUACAAAUGAUAAACAGGCAAUUGAUGUACAAAAAAGGACUUCCAGCACAACUAACUCGUUCAUCAAAAAAAUUGUCCACCGAACACCAACAUGAGCCACUUAAGGUCAGUAACUUUUUCCCCUAAUACUGGCCAACUGCUCACCAUCAGCAUUCCCUGAAAUGUAAAUUUAUUGCGUCUUCGGGGAGCUUAAGGGUAAAAAAAAAAAAAAAAGCACGUAGAUAAGUGAGGACGAGAGAUGUCUUAUUGUUGAGGAACGACACCCCACCCUUCCUCAGAAGUAUCUAGAAGAAAAUAGAUGACAACGGCAAAAUGGUAUAAUAGAUUAGCUAUGAAAGCAUUAAACGAGACACCAGCCGGUGCAAACAGUCUCCCGGAGCACCACACGAACUUGAAUGUGUGAAUUUUGCUUCACUAAAUUGCGCUAACGCUAAACUAUUCCUUGUGAGUUUAAUGUUGUUAGCAGCUUUAUCCAUGUCCCGCCUUGCCUCCCCUUCCUGAGACCCAAUGCAAGGUAUUAGCUUAUGGAAGAUUAUAUAGAUACAACAUACCUCAACUGGACUUAAGUAAAAAGUUUUUUUUAAAAACACACACCAAAUUACCAAUUUAAUACGUACCUUGUCCUCAUCCAACCGAUUGCCAGCAUCCCGGCCUUCUCGUCUCGUCCCAUUAUUUUACGAAGCAAGCAAGCAGCAGGAAGGCAGACAUUACUUCGUCGAUCGAGAGGAUCACUGAACUGGCAUGUCGAUCAACCAAUGGGUGAAUAGUUCAACACAUGUAGUACCGCCCCCUCAUUUGAAUAACAUUUCCACUUGAACGUUGGCACUGACAAUGAAAUAAGUAAAUAUAUGGCAAAGCGUUUUUAUUUAUUGAUUGACAUUUAUUUCAAUCAAUAUAUUUAUUUUUGUAUUUAUUUCCACAUUUAUUUUUGUAUUUAUUCUUACAUUUUUAAUGUAAUUUCUUAUUUUUGUAUAUAUAUUCAUUUUUAUUUCUACUUUUAUUUAAUUAGCUACUUAUUUCCAAAUUUAUUUUUGUAUUUAUAUUUAAUUUUUGUAUCAUAUUUCUUAUUUUUGUAUUUAUUUUCGUUUUUAUUUUGCUUUUUAUUGAUUGACUUAUUUUUAUUUUUA